CACGUAGGCACCAAGCGUUGUCCGGAUUUAUUGGGCGUAAAGAGCUCGUAGGCGGUUCGGUAAGUCGGGUGUGAAAACUUUGGGCUCAACCCAAAGCGUGCACUCGAUACUGCCGUGACUGGAGUUCGGUAGGGGAGCGGGGAAUUCCUAGUGUAGCGGUGAAAUGCGCAGAUAUUAGGAGGAACACCGGUGGCGAAGGCGCCGCUCUGGGCCGAUACUGACGCUGAGGAGCGAAAGCGUGGGUAGCAAACAGG
rnacentral:rRNA from 1 species